rnacentral:misc_RNA from 1 species
GAUGAAGAACGCAGCGAAUUGCGAUAAGUAAUGUGAAUUGCAGAUUUUCAGUGAAUCAUCGAAUCUUUGAACGCACCUUGCGCUCCUUGGUAUUCCGAGGAGCAUGCCUGUUUGAGUGUCAUCGAAUUCUCAACCUUUUCAGCUUUCUUUGUUGAUCAGGCUUGGAUGUGGGAGUAUGCGGGCUUCUCAGAAGUCGGCUCUCCUGAAAUGCAUUAGCGGGACCUUUGUUGCCUGGCUUUGGUGUGAUAAUUAUCUACGCCAUUGUAGUCAAGCAGCUUAAAAUGAGGUUUCAGCUUCUAACCGUCUCCCCUGAGACAACUUUUUGACAAUUUGACCUCAAAUCAGGUAGGACUACCCGCUGAACUUAAGCAUAUCAAUAAGCGGAGGA